AUUGAACGCUGGCGGCAUGCCUUACACAUGCAAGUCGAACGGUAGAGUAGCAAUACUCGAGAGUGGCGAACGGGUGAGUAAUAUAUCGGAACGUGCCCAAUCGUGGGGGAUAACGUAGAGAAAUUUACGCUAAUACCGCAUACGAUCUAAGGAUGAAAGCGGGGGAUCGCAAGACCUCGCGCGAUUGGAGCGGCUGAUAU
rnacentral:rRNA from 1 species